GAAAAGAAGAAGCACCCCGCUUCUCACCUGAUUGACGCUGAAAGCAGUUGGCAGGUUUUAUGUGAACUUUUUCGUUUAUUACUUUGUUCAUAAAGUGCGGGUGCAGUCAUCCGCACUUUUUUAUUU
rnacentral:sRNA from 1 species